rnacentral:tRNA from 1 species
UCCCUGGUGGCUCAGUGGUAAAGAAUCUGCCUGCAAUGCAGGAGACCCAGGUUUGAUCCCUGGGUGGGGAA